CUGGAUUGCUACAGCGCGAAAACAGUUCACCAUGGCGCUCUGGAGAUGUAUGAUCUGUUUUAUAUUUGUUUCUUUAACUCUGAAGGUGCUCCUUAGCCACAUAAAUGCAGCUCAUGGUUGAAGACAGGAUUUUUGGGUUUACUGUGGAAUAGAUGGCUGUGAACAAGAUUUCAGAGUUUUUAACUCAUUCUUUCGCCACAUUAAACGGACGCACCCUCUGUAUUUGACGAAUGGAAGCCCACCAAGAGGAUGGAGGAUCCCCCCAACAUCCCACUCUUUAGGAUCGGAAAAUUUUGGUGUUUCAGUCUUUGCCAACUGUAGUACUACAACAACAACCAGCACCGUGGAAACAUCAACUGGUGGAUCUUUGCCUGAAGUGCAGGAGCCUCAGGUUGUUGACAGCCCGAUCACGGAAGAAGCUGUUACUACAACAUCCUUUACCAGACACGAUAUUACCAGAUCUGCUGCAGCUUUUGCUAUCAGUGUUCAAGAACAGUGCCACUUAUCACAGACAACGGUCAAACAUAUCAUCUCAGGAGUGCAACAAUAUCAGGCUGUUCUUUUGGAUACGCUCAAGGAAAGAAUGAAGUCAGUGUUUGAAGAUCAUGCUGAGGGAACCACUCAG